GGGGCUCCCAAAUAAAUACUUUUUGAAAAAAAUCCAGGAACAGAUCUACUGCUGCAAUGAUGUGAAGCCAGCACACCUCACUCCCUGUUUGGUCAGUUAAGCAGAAAUGAAGAGCAUUCCAAUGGGAAUUUCCUCGUCUGCCAUUGGAGGCAGGGAGAUACAAACACAGCCAUUUGAAAACCUUGCCAGCCAUGAGCACCCCACCACCUGCCUACUGUAAUCACACCAGCUUUGAAUGCAGGGUGAAAAAGGUGAUUGUUCAUCCAUCCAGAAAUCCCACCCAAAAGCAUGAAUAAAUCAGGUUCUUACCUCUUGUGACACCAGAUGGGUGACUUGCAGCCUGGCAGCUGGUCAAUGCUGUAAAACAGAAAUGGCAAGUCCCUACUUGCAGCUGCACAGAAUUCCAGAGUGAAAAUGUGCAGGUGUCUUGAAAGCAGAUUAAAAACUCGAGCUGAGGAAUUGAGCCUCCUCUUGGAAAUGAGCACUGGAGGCAGAGGAAUGCUGUAACACAGAAAGACUCCUGCACGGCUGCAGAUCCCAUCCACUUACCUUGAAGCUUUCCGUGGAGACAGGGCAGUCUUGCUGCAGGGACAUUUUAUACGAUCUCAUCUGCAGAUGCUACAGAUGCCUACUCUUUCUUCGGUCAAAAAAUUUUUGGCAAGCCUUCUUUGGCAAAGCAUUGUCUGGCAAACUGAACUAAGGGCAUAAUUGUCAUUUGACAUGACUAGAUAUAAUUAGAAAAUUUUGAUGUCUUACCGACUAUAUGAAUACAUCUCCUAUAAAUAAUUUGACAAGGGUGUUAAGGAGGGAAUCUGGACUAGUCAAGGCACUUAGAGAACUUGGAUGCAGGACUUAUGGAUUCUAUUGCUGGCUUUCCCACCAACUCACUGUAUGACCCAGAGUGGAUCGCUUGGUAUGUGUGUGCUGCAGCUACCCCAGCUGUACAAUGGGGAUGACAACAUUUAUCUUCUCUAUGUCAUGAUGUGAAAUUUAUAAGAAAUAAUUUAGAUCAAUACAUUAAACAAGCCACUAAA
rnacentral:lncRNA from 1 species